rnacentral:rRNA from 1 species
UGGGGAAUAUUGGGCAAUGGGGGAAACCCUGACCCAGCGACGCCGCGUGAGGGAAGAAGGUUUUCGGAUUGUAAACCUCUGUUCUUGGUGAAGAGGGGAAGACGGUAGCCAAGGAGGAAGCCCCGGCUAACUACGUGCCAGCAGCCGCGGUAAUACGUAGGGGGCGAGCGUUGUCCGGAAUGAUUGGGCGUAAAGGGCGCGUAGGCGGCUUGUCAAGACUGGAGUGGAAGUCCUAUUUUCAAGGUAGGAAUUGCUUUGGAAACUGGCAAGCUUGAGUGCAGGAGAGGUCAUCGGAGUUCCCGGUGUAGCGGUGAAAUGCGUAGAGAUCGGGAGGAACACCAGUGGCGAAGGCGGGUGACUGGACUGCAACUGACGCUGAGGCGCGAAAGUGUGGGGAGCAAACAG